AGGCAAUGUGUGGAGCAGAUUUUGUUCCAGCCACUCCCAAUGAUGAUUUAUCUCCUCUUCUGUGGCACCUAACAAAAGAAAACAAGAGGAAGAAUUGAGCAAGGAAGACUGCCAUUAACAGCACCAUUUCAGCUUGUGUUUGAACAACAGCCAGCGAAAACCCUUAAUGGAUCCCUAAGGUUUCCCACAGAGAAGAAUGCCAAUUGCCAGAGAAACUUUCCAAGAUUUAGCUUCCUCAACAGGAAGGCUUUGUGAUGGAUCUUGAUAAACACUAUCAAUCAAGAUAACACAGAGAAAACACUAGCAUUAAAAUGGCCUUUGCUAGCUUCCCCACCCCACCCCUCCACCCAUAUGAUGAAAAGUUGUAUAAUAUUGCCAAGAGCUAUGGAGUUACAAUUACCCACAGUUGUAUUCCAUGACAACAGUAAACCUGAAUUUAAGCCGGAAGAAUAUAAAACAGAACCACUGUCUUUCCCAUUUGUCACCUUUUCAAGCAACUGUUGCUAUCUAGAAAUAAAAGAGAAAUGGAAAGAACCAAGCUUUCCUACAGACGUACUUAUACCUACAUUAUGGCCUUUUCUGAGGGGGAUCACAAGCAGAGGUGGCUCUUGCAAGAGAGUGGCAAGCGAGCGAAAGGGAGAACUCAACCACCUUCAGGCCCAAGAUGCAAUUAACAGGACAACUGUUUAAAAGCCAUGAAAAACAUCUGGAUAUUUCUAAUUAACAGUUUAAAAAUUGUGUGUAUUACUUUUUUAGCACUAUAAACUGUCCUAACCUUUAGUGGAUAUGAAUUUAAGUUUGAAUUUAAACUCAAAUAAAGAAUU